CUGGCUCAGGACGAACGCUGGCGGCGUGCCUAAUACAUGCAAGUCGAACGGUCUUUCUAUGGAAGCUUGCUUCCACUGAGAAGAUAGUGGCGAACGGGUGAGUAACACGUGGGUAACCUGCCCAUAAGAGGGGGGAUAACAUCCGGAAACGGGUGCUAAUACCGCAUAGUUUUCUUGAUCGCAUGAUCGGGAAAGGAAAGACGGCCUUUGUGCUGUCGCUUAUGGAUGGACCCGCGGCGUAUUAGUUAGUUGGUGAGGUAACGGCUCACCAAGACGAUGAUACGUAGCCGACCUGAGAGGGUGAUCGGCCACAUUGGGACUGAGACACGGCCCAAACUCCUACGGGAGGCAGCAGUAGGGAAUCUUCCGCAAUGGACGAAAGUCUGACGGAGCAACGCCGCGUGAGUGAAGAAAAGGUUUUCGGAUCGUAAAACUCUGUUGUCAGAGAAGAACAAGUUGGAGAGUAACUGCUCCAGCCUUGACGGUAUCUGACCAGAAAGCCACGGCUAACUACGUGCCAGCCGCUGC
rnacentral:rRNA from 1 species